rnacentral:rRNA from 1 species
UAAGGAAUAUUGGUCAAUGGACGCAAGUCUGAACCAGCCAUGCCGCGUGGAGGAUGAAGGUCCUCUGGAUUGUAAACUUCUUUUAUCUGGGACGAAACACUUCUUUUCUAAGAGGCCUGACGGUACCAGAUGAAUAAGCACCGGCUAACUCCGUGCCAGCAGCCGCGGGAAUACGGAGGGUGCAAGCGUUAUCCGGAUUCACUGGGUUUAAAGGGUGCGUAGGUGGGUAUGUAAGUCAGUGGUGAAAUCCCCGAGCUUAACUUGGGAACUGCCAUUGAUACUAUAUAUCUUGAAUACCGUAGAGGUAAGCGGAAUAUGUCAUGUAGCGGUGAAAUGCUUAGAUAUGACAUGGAACACCAAUUGCGAAGGCAGCUUACUAUGCGGUGAUUGACACUGAGGCACGAAAGCGUGGGUAGCAAACA